UUAAUAAAAUCAAUUCUUUAGAUCUGUGAAGGUCUCUUACCGUUUUUGAUAUUUACAGCAACAAUCUCACAGAACAGAUACUUGAAGAAUUUGUGGCAGGUAAUAACGAUUUCACGGGUUCUAUCCCAAGAAGCCUUAGAAAUUCCACCAUCCUUAGAACUCUCGUGCUUCAAAAUAAUGUACUGGUAGAUAAUAUAACAGAGGCGUUUCACAUAUCUAGAUAGGUUUAACGUCAAUAACAACAUGGUGUACAUUCAGCUCUCAAAAAAAUUGGCUAGGUUUUUCUCUUGUGUUAGAUCGAGUAAGGUGCAGCGCUCACAUUCGAAGAGAACAGAUGGUUACGAUCCUAAUCUUCUAAAUCCUUCUUAUUAAUUUAUUGAUUUUUGGGAAAUUGGUUUUGGUUGUGAUAAUCUUGAAUUUUUUGGUACAUUCAAAAAGAAAAAAAAAAUCUUACUAUCAUCAGUGAAAAUAUGGGUAAUGAGUUAUUGUUGUGUGGAACAUUUGUUGUCUGUGUUCCAACAGAGGAUUGAAGCAGACCAAGCUGAAUUUCAACAUAGAUUACUAAUGUUCGUGUAUUUGGAUCAAGAGAGCUUAUUGUCGCCACUGAUGCGUUCCAUCCAAGACGCGAUUUAGCUGAAGGAACAUCUGGACGUGGGUAUAAGGGUAUUCUUGAAGAUGUUAUACUUUGCAAAUUUAGUCCUAAGUAAUAAAUGACUAUUCAAUGUAACGAUUAACUUAAAUUUCAGGAAGUUGCCGUGAAAAGGUUUUAUGAGCAGAAAGAUUUGUGGGUGGAGGUUCGAAUGCACAGCUGCAUCGAGCACUCUAACCUCAUCAAGAUGAUUGGUUACUGUGAUCAAGGGAAAGAUCAUAUUGUUGUUUAUGAAUUUACGUUGUUACGACCGUUGAAUCUUCACUUACAUGCAAAGUAAAAUGUGUGAACGAGAAUAACCUCAUAAAGAACCCGGAGCAGACAUGGUGACCACUAACGUACCAAAUUACGAAGAAGCACCGGGUACAACAGAAUCUGAUUAAUUUACCCCGUCAACCAAUGUACAUAGAACAUAAGCAGUUACGAAGGUAGAUUUAUGGGAUGAGAGUGGCGGUAAAGUCAUGGAACAAUGAACUUAUGAAAGAGUUGAUGAUAAUAUUCUCGGCAAGGGGAAAAAUUGUAACAAGGUUGAUAGACUGCAAGUGGUUUUCAAUUACGGAAAGUGUAAAUUACAUCAAUAUCAUGUAUUCGGUUCGAAAUAGAUAUUUUUGUUUCUUGUUUUAGAGACUUCAGCUUAUACAAACUGAUUCUUGCUUGA